rnacentral:rRNA from 1 species
GACGAACGCUGGCGGCGUGCUUAACACAUGCAAGUCGAACGGAAAGGCCCUGCUUUUGUUGGUUGCUCGAUUGGCGCACGGGUGAGUAACACGUGAGUAACCUGCCCUUGUCUUUGGGAUAACUUUAGGAAACUGGGGCUAAUACCCGAUAUGAUCUCCUGCUGCAUGGUGUUGGUUGGAAAGUUUCGGCGUUUGGGGAUGGACUCGCGGCUUAUCAGCUUGUUUGUGUGGUAGUGGCUUACCAAGGCUUUGACGGGUAGCCGGCCUGGGAGGGUGACCGGGCACAUGGCGACUGAGAGACGGCGCAGAAGGCUACGGGAGGCAGCAGGGGAGAGUAUUACGCAAUGAGCGGAAGUCAGAGGCAGAAACGUCGGGAGCGGGAUGACGGCCUACGGGUUGUAAACAGCUGUGGAAUGUGACGAAGAGUGAGUGACGGUAAUGGGUAAAGAAGCACCGGCUAACUACGUG